UAGCACAGUCUUAACGAUGGAUGUCUUGGUUCCUACAGCGAUGAAGGCCGCAGCAAAAUGCGAUACGCAAUGAAAAUUGCAGUGACUGUGAAUCAUCAGAAUGCUGAAUGUAAAUGACACCAAAUCCCUUCGGGGAAUAUGGUACUCCUACAGAAAAU
rnacentral:rRNA from 2 species